CGUUGAGUCGUAAGCAUCGAGCGAUCGCUGCCUUUUAUCCCUUCACGAUUAUAUUCGCACACUUAUACACAUAACGCAUUUUUCAACACCAAAGCUAGCGAUAGACGACGUUACAUUGCAGCUGCGGAAAGAAAUGCCGGCAUCAUCGGUGGACAGCAAGAAGCGGAGGAGUUCGCUGAAGGUGGCGAUGCAAACCCACGAGACGAAGAACAUCCUGACGACAUAUGCGAUCCUUUUGCUACUACUCAUUGCACUGUAUCUUCUCUACUCGGGAGUAUUUGUUUAAAUAAAUAGAUAUGAUUGAUUCGGGCUGACGCGCACCGGGACUCGGGCGCAAGGGAGCGCUCCCACACGCAAAUACCCACACUCGCCCAAACAAUCCCGUGACAGUCCUCAGCCGCCAGACAAACAUUCACACUUUCAUCGCCAAAACCACAUCCGCAACCAGCAUCAGCAAGGAAUUACGUCUCGUGUAGAAAUAUUGCCAUCAUCCUUACCUCGCAUCAUAUAGAAAAAACAAAAAAAACAAAAAAAAUUCUCGUGAUUAAAAAUAAACAAGUUAUGAGCGUAGUACGUAUAAAUCGCGACCGGAUGGGUAUUGGAGGUUUUUUGCGGUCAGAAUACAUGUAUGUUAGUUCCGCGCCGCCGAAUAUUUUCAUCGGCUUUUAAUUUAUGGCUCAACCUCGUGACAUUUUUUGUCCCAGUUUCUUAAUUUUACGUAUGUAUAUAUAUAGAGGUAUGCACACGCGUUAUUUUUUUAUUGCACAAUAUCCGACUUGGGCCAAUAUCAGGAAAAUCAUAUACUAUUAUUAUUAGCUAAUUGGUGUGGGACAAACGACAAGACCAAUUAUCUCGCUCCAUCAAAACUGUACAGAUGUGUCAGAGCUGCCGGAAAAGAAUUCACCAAGAGAAACGUAGGAUAGGAAAAAAAAAGAAAAAAAAAAGUCGGAAAAUCUACGUGUGUGGUACAAAAAAUCGAGAAUAGGGAGGAAGAAGAACGUGUACGAUCCGACUAUUUUUGUUAAAAAUUCUUACUGCGUCUAUGUGGACCACAAGCGGCUGACUCGCUACAUCAUCAACGUUGAGUGCGAAAAAUUGCGAAAAAUUGCCAAAAAAUAAAAAAAAUAAUUAGAAACGCUAGGCGAGUGAACGAGCAAAUCGAGCGAGUCUCUGGGAGCGUGGGCGCGAUCGGUCGAAAAUAACUGAUACUUCCAGAUAGCCGUGGCCAGCUUUUCGAGAGACGUGAUCUAUAUUUUCAGAGGCUAACCUGCUUAAAAAUAACAUCUUUGGCUCUUGGGCAGGGAGGAAAAAAAAACCACCUGGAGAUGUGCGUGCGCGAUGAAGUGAUUUUUUUUUUUUUUUUUUUUUUUUUUUGUUC